UACGGAGGGGGCUAGCGUUGUUCGGAAUUACUGGGCGUAAAGCGCACGUAGGCGGCUUUGCAAGUUAGAGGUGAAAGCCCGGGGCUCAACUCCGGAAUUGCCUUUAAAACUGCAUCGCUAGAAUUGUGGAGAGGUAAGUGGAAUUCCGAGUGUAGAGGUGAAAUUCGUAGAUAUCGGGAGGAACACCGGUGGCGAAGGCGGCGACCUGGGUCGAUACUGACGCUGAGGUGCGAAAGCGUGGGGAGCAAACAGG
rnacentral:rRNA from 1 species